GAUGAACGCUAGCUACAGGCUUAACACAUGCAAGUCGAGGGGCAGCAUGAACUUAGCUUGCUAAGUUUGAUGGCGACCGGCGCACGGGUGAGUAACACGUAUCCAACCUGCCGAUGACUCGGGGAUAGCCUUUCGAAAGAAAGAUUAAUACCCGAUGGCAUAGUUCUUCCGCAUGGUAGAACUAUUAAAGGAUUUCGGUCAUCGAUGGGGAUGCGUUCCAUUAGGUUGUUGGCGGGGUAACGGCCCACCAAGCCUUCGAUGGAUAGGGGUUCUGAGAGGAAGGUCCCCCACAUUGGAACUGAGACACGGUCCAAACUCCUACGGGAGGCAGCAGUGAGGAAUAUUGGUCAAUGGACGAGAGUCUGAACCAGCCAAGUAGCGUGAAGGAUGACUGCCCUAUGGGUUGUAAACUUCUUUUAUACGGGAAUAAAGUGAGGCACGCGUGCCUUUUUGUAUGUACCGUAUGAAUAAGGAUCGGCUAACUCCGUG
rnacentral:rRNA from 1 species